rnacentral:rRNA from 1 species
CCUACGGGAGGCAGCAGUGGGGAAUAUUGGACAAUGGGGGGAACCCUGAUCCAGCCAUGCCGCGUGUGUGAAGAAGGCCCUCGGGUUGUAAAGCACUUUCAGUGAGGAAGAACGCCUGGUGGUUAAUACCCAUCAGGAAAGACAUCACUCACAGAAGAAGCACCGGCUAACUCCGUGCCAGCAGCCGCGGUAAUACGGAGGGUGCGAGCGUUAAUCGGAAUUACUGGGCGUAAAGCGCGCGUAGGUGGCUUGAUAAGCCGGUUGUGAAAGCCCCGGGCUCAACCUGGGAACGGCAUCCGGAACUGUCCAGCUAGAGUGCAGGAGAGGAAGGUAGAAUUCCCGGUGUAGCGGUGAAAUGCGUAGAGAUCGGGAGGAAUACCAGUGGCGAAGGCGGCCUUCUGGACUGACACUGACACUGAGGUGCGAAAGCGUGGGUAGCAAACAGGAUUAGAUACCCCAGUAGUC